GGAACAGUAGUGGAUAACGAAACACUCCAUUUAGAUGCUUCGCUCUUGAACCAUGAUACCUCAUCGUUCAGCGCAGCAAUACCACCUAAAAUGACCUCUAUGUCUGAAUCUUCAUCUGACUCCUUCCAAGCUUUCAACAGUAAACUUGCUACGAAAGGAACAAAGGCUCUAACAAAUAUAUAAUCUUGUCCCAGCCAUCUUUUGAAAGCAGAGAGGUCAACGGAGCCAUCGCGAAUGCUAAGAG
rnacentral:misc_RNA from 1 species